rnacentral:rRNA from 1 species
UACGGGGGGGGCAAGCGUUGUUCGGAAUUACUGGGCGGAAAGGGCUCGUAGGCGGCCAACUAAGUCCGACGUGAAAUCCCAAGGCUUAACCUUGGAACUGCGUCGGAUACUGGAUGGCUUGAAUUCGGGAGAGGGAUGCAGAAUUCCAGGUGUAGCGGUGAAAUGCGUAGAUAUCUGGAGGAAUACCGGUGGCGAAGGCGGCAUCCUGGACCGACAUUGACGCUGAGGAGCGAAAGCUAGGGGAGCAAACGGG